GGGGGAGAGCUCAGAACCUCAGCAGAAGUACACAGUGUGGACGGGGGGAUCCGUCCACACCACGUUUACGGGAGGAACGUAUUGGCUUACAGGCCGAAACCUUCUGACGUUUUCAUCCCUAAUAUAGCCAUUCUUGUUUUGAGUCAUUGUGUCUUCCAGGAGCUUAAAGUGGAAUCUUGGAACUCUGUGCUGCGAAGUGAGGCUCAUACGUUUAAUCAGAACCUUCUUGACUUCCUGCUUUCUUCCUUCCUUUGAACUUGAGUGUCAAAUUUAUGAUACCGUUUAUGAAAAAUGGUGGUUUUGGGACUCCAGAGUGCGCAGGAUGAGCAGUGGCCCCCCGACGGCUGGCAGAUGGACAGAAGCGGCCCCUCCGAGCUGCCCCCUGGGGCGGCUGAUCCAGAGCGCGGUGCCGGCCAAGUUAGCAGCGUGCCCGCCUCCCCCUCCGGAGAGGCUCACCAGGAGGUCAAGGGGGUCGUCCUUUCGUCGGUCUUAGACUUGAGUCAACGUGGCCUUCACCAUUUAGAAGAGAUCUUUAAAAUCCCCAACAUUAAACAACUGCAUCUUCAAAGAAACGCCCUCUGCGAGAUUCCCGCAGACUUCUUCCAGUCGCUGCCAAACCUCGCGUGGCUGGACUUCCGCUACAACAGCAUCAGAGCUCUUCCUUCUGGGAUCGGGUCUCACAAGCACUUGAAAACUUUGCUUUUAGAAAGAAAUCCUAUCAAAAUGUUACCUGUGGAGCUGGGGAACGUGACCACACUGAGAGCCUUGAACCUGAGACACUGCCCCCUGGAGUUCCCCGCCCCCCUCGUCGUGCAGAAGGGACUGGGUGCCAUCCUGGCCUUCCUGCAGGCCUGCGCCAUGCAGCGGCCUCCUCCCCGAGGGUCAGCUUCUCCAGAGCGUGUGGCCGACAAAGACGAUGUUAAUUCUCAGGAUCGGAGGGGGAGGUUAAAAGAAAAGGCAGACUUUCUCCCUCCUGUUGAAAAGCUAGACCCGAGUGAGCUGGGCAAGUCCACUGCCUCCCCAGAAGACUGGCCGGGCGAGGAGGAAAUCAGGCGCUUUUGGAGGCUGAGACAGGAGAUUGUCGAGAAGGAGCGGGAGGAAGUGCUUGCAAAGCAGCUCUUACCGGCAGAGUUACCUGCAAACCUCAAGGCGGCUCUGAACACGAAGGAGAAAGAACAUUCUGGCUCCAGACACGCUCUCAGCGCGUGCCGUCCGCGGGGGAGCGUUCACCGCGGGGUCUCUGACGGUAGAAGGAAGAUGGCCUCCCUCAGGAGCAUCCUGCCGGCCCUGGCGCCGCGGCAGCGAGGGGGGCUUCCCGCCAGGAGAGCGGAGGACAGCGGGGCCUUGGCCCCCAGGGAGCAGCGCGUAAGAGACGAAGGAGCGCCGCGGGAGUGGCGGGAGCGAGCCCGGACCCGGAGGACAGCGGACGCGGCCCUGGGCAAGCCCCUGCCUCCCCAGAGGAGUCUGGUACAAGGACGCCGGCGGGAGGGGUCUCAUCCGGUCCGGGGGCCAUGGUGCCCGCUGCAGAGGUGGAGCCUGCGGCCCGCUGACGGACCUAUUUCCUCUCAAACACUUACAGUGUUCCUUUACCGUGAGAGCCACAUCAGAGCCACAGCAACUCGGGAGGAAGCGGCGCCUCCCGCCUCCUCUCGCCGUGUGGCCUCCCCGGGCGGGCUGCCCUCCGCUCCCUGCCCGGCACGCACGCCUGCCUGCGUCAUAGGCGACGUGCUACGUCCUCCCAUCCCGUCUUCUCUGUCACCACCCGCAUUUUUGCACAACACGUAAGCGUCCAAGAUUCGUGUGCCGUCGCUUCAGGAACAGGGCGACUUGCACACUUACACCUUCUCGAGGAAGCCGUCCGAGCUCGAUCACAGCAGCCCAGUGGAAACAACUGGCAUGCCAGGAGAUGGGUGGCUACCUGCGAAACCCCAUGGGGCCGGGGGUGACGGGCGCGUCUUAUUACCGUAGGGAGCGCUGGGAGCCUGCCUCAGCUGAUGCUGACGGGUGACUCAGGGUGGGGCCUCGUCACGUGGCUGGUCCCCAGAAAGACCGCCUGACCGCGGCCUGCAGCUUUCAGCCCCAUCCCAACUGCCCCGCAGCCCCCCGUCUCAUCGCGUGUGGCCCCGCGAAUCGUCCGUGUGGCAGUUCCCGCAGCUGCUCCCAGGCUGCAGCCUCCGCUGUGCCCUGAGCUCUGUGAGCUGCUCUAGCGCGUGACUGACCCUGAGGGGCUGUGGGAGGCCUGGCUGGGAGCCGGUCAGCUGGCGGUGAGGGGCAGCUUGGACUCAGGCAGGCGGCCGUGAGGACGUGAGGAGACCCAGUGGUGUCGGCUGCAGGUAGAGGAGAAUUGCCACCCUUAUGGGAAACCCCCCAGCCAUUGACCUUGGGACAGGGUCCUUCCAGGGGCGAACACCCUGCCCAAGGGGCUCGGCGGGAAGCCACGCUGUGCCGGAGGCUGGGAGGGGACGGCAGCCAUCCACGCCACAUCCCACUUCUUCCUCUGUUGCAGAGGAUGCCCUCGCCUCCCUGAGGCCUACGAGCCGAGCGUAUGAAAGCAAACCCACACGGCGUCUUUGACCUACAGCCAGUUAACGUGCCGUCGUAGGAUCAGGACUCUUAGCGGGACCGCGAUGCAGGACUGCCGGAAAACAAUUAGGAAACCAGUGCUUACAGCCCCACGGCCGCCGUGCCCAGCACUCCUGUGCGCGGCCAGACCAGGCUCGGCUUGUCCCCUGCCUCCCGGAGCGCCGGGGCCUGUGCCCCAUUGUCACCCAGGCCCCCUGGAAACGCCACUCUGCAAGUGCCCAGCCGUCCCUUCCCGGCCAGCCCCUGGCUUCCCAGCUCUGCUGAGGAGGGGUGCUAGGCUCUGCCGCGGGGUCGGGGCAUCCCAGCCCUCCCCUCUCCCGCCCACGCACCCCUUCCCACCCGCUCUUGCAAAGCUUGACUACUCCCCUGGCCUCUGCCGUUCAGUCAGCAGGUGACCACAAGGAGAAAAGAGAGGCCACCAGGCGGGCACGCACAGGCUCUGCUGUCUCCUCCCCUGGGCCUCUGCCAGUGCCCCCUCUGUGGGCCCAGUUCUGUUGCUCCCGGCCUCCCGGCGCUUUGCUGUGGCGCACGGACCCCUUCCCUCGGCUGGUCCCGGCACCGUUGCCCAGGCCCCCCCGUGGUGCCGCCCCGCUCCUGGGCGGCAGGUGCCCUGUUUCCCCUGUAGCUCCUCUCCUCCCUGACCCCGUGAGAAGCUGCUUGUGUCCUGCCACCUUCCUCGGGUCAGGCGUCCCCAAGGCUGGCUCUGUCCCCAGGAGCCGGGCCUCAUCAUCUCUGGGUCUCUCCCUGGCCUGGGUCUCUCCAGCGGAUGGUCACAAGCAGUCCUCUGACACUGUGUCCUCACAGCUCACGGGCACCAGCCUCCGUGUCUGUGUCUCCUGACCGCCCUCCUCACCCUGUUGCACCUCACCCCCAGUGCCCUCCGGAGCCUCCUGUCAUCCUACCUAGACCCUCCUCUUUACCACAGGGCCUUUGCACAGGCAUCUCCUCCCCUUGCCCGCUGGGCCCCCACUCUUCGUGGGUCCUUAAAGCGUGUGUGGCCACUCUGGAAGGUUCCCCUUGCUCCCAGACCUGCACAGGCUCCUGGGGUCCCGGCCCCCUGCCGGCCAGGAAUGUGCUGGUGCCAUCCUUCCCCCAACCAGGCUUCCGACUCGGCCAGGCUCUGGCUUCUCUGGCCGGACACACGGGAUCCGUGGUCGCCUGUGCCAGGUGUCGCCUGUUGCCGUCCGCCCGGCUCCCCCUCAGCCCGCCCUGCAGGAUGCUGAUCGGGGCGGGCCCGGCAGGGGGCUCCCAGUGGCGGGCUCAGGGCUGCCGGGGUGGGGGUGGGGUGCCCGAGUCAGGCUGGACUCUUCCUGUGUCCGGGCCCUGAGUGCACGCGGCCCCACAGCAGCGCUCCUGUCCCGUUGGCGCCCGGGUCCGGGGUGCACCCGCCCCCUGCCGGCUGCAGGGACCCCCUCCCAGCCUGUCCCCACAUCGCACGGGCGGGUUGUCAAGACCAGGAGACCGCUGAGCCUGCUGGGGCUGCCGGCUCCCGGCCCCGUUGGCAGACCUGUAUUUAAGCGCCACUAACUGUGGAGGCUGGCGACUGGCGCUGCGUGGAAGCCUUCCUUCUGUCAGAUGGGGGUGAAAUCCACACGUCACGUAAAACGUGUGAACUGUUUUCAGGUGUCCAGUUGAGGAGCACCCAGCACGCUCACCCCACGCACAGCCACCCCCCCCCAGCUCCGUCCCCAGGACUCUCCCGUCCCCCCGAAAGGAAGGUCUGUCCCCAUCAGACACCAGGUCCCCGUCCCCUCCCCUGCCCCCUCGGUCUGUCUGCCCUCUGUGAACAUGACGGCUCCGGGGACCUCGAGAGGGUGGGGUCACACCGGGCCUGUCCUUUUGCGUCUGGCUUCUGUCACCGGGCAUCGCGACCUCGGGGCUCCUCCGCGCGUGGCAGGCGUCUCCCUCCCGCGAGGCCAGGGGACGUCGUGCCGUGUGGACGGACCGCUGCGUUUACCCGCUCGUCCACAGUAGACACUCAGGUCCCUUCCACCCGCGGGCUCCUGUGAAUCUGCUGCCGUGGACACAGGGGUGCCUGUCUGAGACCCCGCUUUCAGUUUGGGGGGGGGCCGGAAGUGGGAUCGCUGGAGCUAGCUUCUGUUUGUACAUGGUUUACUCUAGUGGGCAAUGUGAUGUCCACAACACUCUGCAAGAAGAGGAAGGUUAGCCUGUUCUGUAUAAUCUGUGAACCACACGGACAUACUGUGCAUAGUCGCUGUUGUAUUUUGUAGCAUAGAAACUUAAAAAUAUUUGUAUGGCCUGGAGUGGCAAAAAGCCUCACAAAUCAAAUAGGAAAUACAGAAUUUCUGGAACUACAGAUGGAAAAUUUUAACUUCGGGGCGCCUGGAUGGCUCAGUCGGUUGAGGUCGUGAGUUUCAGUGACCUCGUGGUUUGUGAGUUCGAGCCCCGUGUCAGGCUCUGCGCCGACAGUGCGGAUCCCACUUGGGAUUCUCU